CUUUAUAAGUGCUUUUUGAAGAAACAAUUAGAUUAUUUACUUUACAAAUGCCCUCCAAGUAGUUCAAUAUAAUUUUCAUCCUAAAAAUUGCUUUCUUUAAUUUGGACUCUUCAUUUAUACUAUCUUUAAGAAGCAAAGAGGUAACAUAAGGAAGAUUAUACAAUAUGAUAUUUGUUCAUCAUGUUAUAGGUUCACCUGCAGAUAAAAAAAUCUGAACUGAAAAUCUAAAAACCAAAUUGGAGAUAUAAAGAGAUGCAAGAAGAGAACUACCACUUAUAACAGAUGAUCAAAACCUUCAAGCUAGAUCAAAAUCCACCCUUUAUCUGCAAAAACCACAAUCUCAUCAAAUGUUAAAAAAUAAAUCAUCAAAUAAUCAAGAAAUUUCAAAUCUUACGAUCUAUAUCUACCCUUUUCAUUCUGCAAACCUAAAAAAGAGAUCCCUUUUCAUUCUGCAAACCUAAAAAAGAGAUUUUUAAAAGCUAAAACUAUUUUACCAAACUCAAAAACAUAAUAACCUUAAUCACCAAAAAUAAAAAAUUAGGUCCAAAAUAAUCUACUUUUCUUGUUACAUCUAAAUCAACAGAAAUAGAAUAGCAAAAUAUUCGUCUAUUGACACCUAUAAAAUCAAAAAAUCAACUUAUUUUGAAUUCAGCUGUACCAAUCAACAACACCCUAAUUAAACCAAUGUUCAAAGGGCUGACAAGGAGAAUCACAAAUAUUUGCAAGAAUUUGUUUCAUGGUUGAUGCUUCCAAUAAACCUUAUUUUUUUGUGCCUCUGCUAUAUCUCAUCCUCAGAUCCAAUGCCAAACUUUGAAGGACUUUAGUCACUGCUAAAAAAUUCAACUAACUAAUAAGAUAAUCCAAAAGUAUAGGAAUAGCAGAAUCAAUUAAGGGAUUAGGUUUGCUUAUCUUAGUUAAUAUGAUAUAUUGUUUUUGUAACUCAACACCAUAUUUUCUAACUCAACAAUCAAAAUUUUCUAACUCAACAUAACAACACAAAGGAUUGAGUAUAUCCAUUAUUUAUAUUUAUUCAAUCUAUCAAUCAAAGAAACAAAUCAAAAUUUUCCAAAAACCUAAAACCUAGAAAAAUUAUAGAUUUAGAAUAAUUGUACCAGUCUGUCGCAUAGAAAAAGCUUUUGUGGUNNN
rnacentral:lncRNA from 1 species